AAAUUGAAGAGUUUGAUCAUGGCUCAGAUUGAACGCUGGCGGCAGGCCUAACACAUGCAAGUCGAACGGUAACAGGAAGCAGCUUGCUGCUUCGCUGACGAGUGGCGGACGGGUGAGUAAUGUCUGGGAAACUGCCUGAUGGAGGGGGAUAACUACUGGAAACGGUGGCUAAUACCGCAUAACGUCGCAAGACCAAAGAGGGGGACCUUCGGGCCUCUUGCCAUCAGAUGUGCCCAGAUGGGAUUAGCUAGUUGGUGAGGUAACGGCUCACCAAGGCGACGAUCCCUAGCUGGUCUGAGAGGAUGACCAGCCACACUGGAACUGAGACACGGUCCAGACUCCUACGGGAGGCAGCAGUGGGGAAUAUUGCACAAUGGGCGCAAGCCUGAUGCAGCCAUGCCGCGUGUAUGAAGAAGGCCUUCGGGUUGUAAAGUACUUUCAGCGGGGAGGAAGGUGUUGUGGUUAAUAACCACAGC
rnacentral:rRNA from 2 species